UGCCUUGGCAGCUUUCUCCAGUCUGUGGGGAUCCCAGGGUGCCCGUACACCAAGACUUCCCGAAGAUCUCGCUGACAGGAUCCUGUCCUCCUGAAGCCUGACCGCAGGAGUGAAAGCAUUUUGAUUCGUUCAUUCUGACAUUUCAUUCACGGUUUUGUUUUAUUUCGUUCGUUCAUUCAUUCCUUUUAUUCAGAUUAGUAAAUAGAUGCAGCCGGCACGGUCCUGAACGCUUGCUGUUCAGCAUGAUUUGUGGGUUCUUUCUAAAAAAUACCUCACACUCAGUGACCGAAUUGUUACCUGCUUCCUGACGAUGUUAGAUGACAAAGACUUUGGCUUAAAAAAAUGUCAAGUAAUCCAUUUGUGGUAACGUGGGGUGAACAGCGUCAGUUGCAAAAGGUCCGUUCUGAUGCACUAAAGACGUUUUCCUGGGGAUUAAUUCAAGGGGGAAGAAUGACUACAGCCGGCAGUCCUUACAAUCCACAGAGCACAGUCGACUUGGGCGCCCAGUACAUCACCUGCACUUCUCAUUAUGCCAAAAAACAUCAAAGCUUUUAUGAUGAACUGUUAGCUCGGGGCAUUUUGAAGCCUCUGAUCUCUCGUAUUGAAGGAAUAGUGAUAAAAGACGGAGACUGUAACUUUGUGGCACCUCAAGGAGUUUCUUCAAUUGUUAAUCAUUACUUGAAAGAAUCAGGUGCUGAAAUCUGCUUCAGACAACAUGUGACCCAGAUCAACCUGAGAAAUGACAAGUGGGAAGUCUCCAAGGAAACAGGCUCCCCUGAGCAGUUUGAUAUUGUUGUCCUCACGAUACCAGUUCCUCAGAUCCUGCAACUUCAAGGUGACAUCGCAAACUUAAUUAGUGAAAUCCAAAGGCAGCAACUGGAAUCUGUGAGCUACUCCUCUCGCUAUGCUCUGGGCCUCUUUUAUGAAGCUGGCACGAAGAUUGAUGUCCCUUGGGCUGGGCAGUACAUCACCAGUAAUCCCUGCAUUCGCUUCAUCUCCAUUGAUAAUAAGAAACGCAAUAUAGAGUCAUCAGAAAUCGGGCCUUCCCUUGUGGUUCACACCACUGUCCCAUUUGGAGUUGCACACUUGGAACAGAGCAUUGAGGAUGUGCAGAAGUUAAUCUUCCAGCAGCUGGAGAACAUUUUGCCUGGUUUGCCUCAGCCAGUUGCUACUAAAUGCCAGAAAUGGAGACAUUCACAGGUUACAAAAGCUGCAGCCAACUACCCAGGACAAAUGACUCUUCAUCGUAAACCUUUCCUUGUGUGUGGAGGGGAUGGGUUUACUCAGUCCAACUUUGAUGGCUGCGUCACUUCUGCCCUAUGUGUUCUGGAAGCUUUGAAGAGCCAUAUUUAGUACCUGUGUUCUUAUUCUCUACAGAAAUUGAAAUGGAUGUGGGAGUAUCUCGUGCUGGAAGCCAUCCCAGAGGGUCAUGAAACUCAGAUGGCCAGGAUGCCCUAAAAGACCCAGGCCGAAGGCAUCCGACUCCCCUGGGAAAUCGGGAGAGCUAACACUAAUCCUGAUGUGAUAUAUACAGGAGUCUACUAUGGAGUAAAGUCUCUGUAAGUAGUGCCUAAUGAUUUAUGUUCCUGUUAUUUUCAUUUGCUGGUUUAUUUCCUUCUCUGGGGGGCACUUGCUGUGAGAAAUGGCUGCAUCCUAAUGCAUCCCACUGAAUUUCAACCCAGCAGUAGUUGGUUGGUAGACAGGCUCCCUCUGCAUUCAGCCUUUCCUGCUGUACUCCUCUUUGUCUCUUCAGCCCCUUUGGUUCAUUUUCCUCUCCUCUGUCAGUUUCUCCCCUUUCUUACCCCCCUCCUCAUUUUUUCCUCCCGCUUCUUACCCUGUGUCCAGUUCUCCAUUCUCAGAAAUCUGGAAUAUAAAUGCAAUCACUUUAUGAUUCAUAGCAUUUGUAAUUUUGUGGUUUAGUCUCUCUCUUUUUUCCUAAAAUCUAAAGCAGUCAAUGCUGCUUUUUAUUCAAGUUGAUUGGACAGUCAUUAUUUUGAUUUGUCAAAAGUAAUGCAGGCGUUUAGAACCAUCUGUUGCUUUCAGGGAUCUCAAAGCUAAUAACCUAAAAAAUACAUGUAAAUCAUGGUGCCAGGCUUUCUAGGAUGAUUAGCCAUCUCCACCUAAAGAUGCUAGUUAGGGGAAGACAAGUCCCUUGGAGUGGGAGGCAGGGUAAAGUUACAUGCUGGUGUAACUGCAGACAGUAAAUACGAUGCUCUACCUCAUGAAGCUGGGAAUCCUAAGACAAAGAACCACGUUUCCCUGGGAGAGAGAGGGUCUCCAAACAGAAGCAGAGAUCUGUCAGGAAAACACAUUUGGCAACCUCCUUGCCCUCCUCACCUGCCCACACUGUGGGCAGAUCUGGCUGACUCCCGAACUCUAAACUGUGUAUCAGCGUGCUCAGGACAAGUGAGUACUUUCUGUAGAGAAGGCUCAGUAAGACACAGAAUGUGGUCUCUGGGAAAAGGAGAAUGCUUCUGCAAACCCAGCAGCAGCUUAGUCCUACAUCAGGCAGCAUCAUGUGGCAAGAUAAGCUGGGGAAGGUUAAAGUGGUCCUGUGUUUCUUUCUUAACAGAUAGUAAUUAUAGUCCGCUUAAGAGUUCAUAGCAGAAUCCAUCAAAUGAGCCUACUAAGGAGAAAGAAGGCGUAAGAUUUCUCCUAAUAGCAACAACAAAAUACCUGUGCACAUAUGCAUAUGGAAUUUGCAUACCAGUUUAGAGCAGGCUGGCUAGCUGUCUGUUUUUGUAAAUAAAGUUUUAUCGGAACAUGGCCUUGCCCACCUGUUAAUGGAUCAUCUAUGGCUGCUUUUGCUCCGCAACAUUAGAGAUGAGUGUUUGGGACAGAGACCAUACAGCCUACAAAGCCUAAGAUAGUUUCUACCUGGUUGUUUAAGGAAAAACUUGCUGACUCCUAUUUGAUGGCAGUGGGAGGUGGGGGGGGGACAGUUACAAACCCUCCAAAAUCUUUUUUAACACUCAGGGGUCUAUGGACCUCAGAUUAAGAACUUCUGAAUCUCGACCCUAUUGCUUUAUGUAAAUACAGGGUUAUCUUAUGUCCACACAUCUGGUCCAUUGUUCCUUGAUCCUGUGCCCCAUUGUAAAUCCUUUAAGGCAGGCAGUACUAAGAGCACAGUCUCUGGAGUUCAAAAGAUCUGUGUUUUAAUCCAGACUUUUGCUCCUCAUUGUGUGACCUUGAAGUUAAAGAACUUCACAGCCGCCUUCGUCAUUGAAAAAUGAGUCAAUGGUGGCUACCCCAAAAGACUGUUGUGAGGGUUAAAUACACGUAAAACCUUAGCAGAGUGCUGGACACGUAGUAAGCGCUUCAUAAAUGAUAGUGCUCAUGGUGCUGAUGGUGAAGGGGAGGAAGAAAGAGAAGGAGAAGUGUAAGUAGAUCCUCCUGGUGCCUCUGAGGCCCCUGUGAAGGCCAGUUUCCUCUGCAGUUUCAUAGUUUCACUUGGGAGAGUAGAGGGUUUGUUCAUCUGUUAAAUGAUGGUGAAACUCAGAUGGUUAAAAGCUCCAGGCUCCUUCAGAACCUUCAUGAGACAGAAUAAUAAGGUCUACCUGAGACCAGCUGUGGGCUGUUUUCUCUUUCCCUGUUAUAGUUGGUAAGUAGACACGUGCUUGGGGAAAAGGGGGGUUUGCUCUCAAGUGACCCUCGAUCGUAUAGCAAAGGGAACUAUAUUCAAUAGCUUGAAUUAACCUAUAAUGAAAAAGAAUAUGAAAAAAAUAUAUGUGUUUAACUGAAUCGCUAUGCUGCUCAACAUUUUAAGACAGCUGUACUUCAAUAAAAUAAAGUGAUCCUUGAAAGGAAACCAUGAACUAUCAUGAACCUACUAAGGUCAUUACCAGGAGUAGGGAUAAUAUAAAAUAGAAGCAUUCUCUGCCACGAACGGUGUCUUUUCCUUAGCCAAGUUUGUGUGCUGAAUGCAAAAAAUCGCACGCUUGGAUGGGAUUCUGCUGAAGAUUAUUUACUUAAUCUCUGAAAUACUGUGAAAACUGGGAGUGAGUUAUUUCACAUUCUUAACAUGUUUGGCUAAGUAUGCAGAUUCAUUUCCUGUCCCUGGCCUUCGUUUUUAAAAGCUCAACUCCUGGUAAAUUCUACGACAUUCUGAACCCACCACUUUCUAGAUGUGUAAUCUUGAACCAGUUUCUUGUCUCUGAGCCUCAGGAGCUGCCUGUAUAGAAUGGGGAUACUAAUUUUACCUUCCUUAGGGUUAUUCUGAGUGUUACAGAAUGUCAUAUAUAAUGUGUUUAGCAUUGUGCUCUGCCCAGAGAAAAUAAUAAAUGUUAGCUGUUGUUAUUACUA